GCUGGCGGCAGGCCUAACACAUGCAAGUUCGAGCGAGACCUUCGGGUCUAGCGGCGGACGGGUUAGUAACGCGUGGGAACGUGCCCUUCUCUGCGGAAUAGCCACUGGAAACGGUGAGUAAUACCGCAUACGCCCUUCGGGGGAAAGAUUUAUCGGAGAAGGAUCGGCCCGCGUUAGAUUAGAUAGUUGGUGGGGUAACGGCCUACCAAGUCUACGAUCUAUAGCUGGUUUUAGAGGAUGAUCAGCAACACUGGGACUGAGACACGGCCCAGACUCCUACGGGAGGCAGCAGUGGGGAAUCUUAGACAAUGGGCGCAAGCCUGAUCUAGCCAUGCCGCGUGUGUGAUGAAGGUCUUAGGAUCGUAAAGCACUUUCGCCAGGGAUGAUAAUGACAGUACCUG
rnacentral:rRNA from 1 species